rnacentral:rRNA from 1 species
CCUACGGGAGGCAGCAGUGGGGAAUCUUGCGCAAUGGGCGAAAGCCUGACGCAGCCAUGCCGCGUGAAUGAUGAAGGUCUUAGGAUUGUAAAAAUUCUUUCACCGGGGACGAUAAUGACGGUACCCGGAGAAGAAGCCCCGGCUAACUUCGUGCCAGCAGCCGCGGUAAUACGAAGGGGGGCUAGCGUUGCUCGGAAUUACUGGGCGUAAAGGGAGCGUAGGCGGAUAGUUUAGUCAGAGGUGAAAGCCCAGGGCUCAACCUUGGAAUUGCCUUUGAUACUGGCUAUCUUGAGUAUGGGAGAGGUUAGCGGAACUCCGAGUGUAGAGGUGAAAUUCGUAGAUAUUCGGAAGAACACCAGUGGCGAAGGCGGCUAACUGGCCCAUUACUGACGCUGAGGCUCGAAAGCGUGGGGAGCAAACAGGAUUAGAUACCCUGGUAGUCCACGCCGUAAACGAUGAGUGCUAGUUGUCGGCAUGCAUGCAUGUCGGUGACGCAGCUAACGCAUUAAGCACUCCGCCUGGGGAGUACGGUCGCAAGAUUAAAACUCAAAAUGAAAUUGACGG